rnacentral:rRNA from 1 species
UAGGGAAUAUUGGACAAUGGGGGAAACCCUGAUCCAGCCAUGCCGCGUGAGUGAUGAAGGCCUUAGGGUUGUAAAGCUCUUUUGUCAGGGAAGAUAAUGACGGUACCUGAAGAAUAAGUCCCGGCUAACUUCGUGCCAGCAGCCGCGGUAAUACGAAGGGGACUAGCGUUGUUCGGAAUCACUGGGCGUAAAGCGGGCGCAGGCGGAUAUUCAAGUCAGGGGUGAAAUCCUGAGGCUUAACCUCAGAAUUGCCUUUGAGACUGUAUAUCUGGAGUGUGUGAGGGGGUAGCGGAAUUCCGAAUGUAGAGGUGAAAUUCGUAGAUAUUCGGAGGAACACCGGUGGCGAAGGCGGCUACCUGGCACACAACUGACGCUGAGGCCCGAAAGCGUGGGGAUCAAACAGGAUUAGAUACCCCCGUAGUCC